rnacentral:misc_RNA from 1 species
AAACCCUAAAAGUACAAAGCUGAGAAAUUUUGUUGUUGCGUUGCGAUUUUGCUCAACUUCCCUGUUGACUUUUCCUCCGGUCAUCUCAAAGCAUCAAGAUGAGGCCUCUGGACGAGACUGAAACGGAUGCUGUUUUCAGGAAGCUACACUCUUUCACCGGCCACAAUCUCAAGAACAUCGUCGAGAACCCUUCCCAUGAAGGACCUGACCCCAGUCCUGGUCGCUAUUGCUUCAGGCUCCACAAGAACAAGGUCUACUACGUUAGCGAGUCCUUGGUGAAGCGAGCCACGAACAUAAGCCGUAAGAAUUUAGCCUCACUGGGCACUUGCAUUGGCAAAUUUACCCAUGGAGGCAACUUUCACUUGACGAUUCAGGCCUUGAAUCUAUUAGCUGCGAAUGCCAAACACAAAGUUUGGCUAAAACCCACAUCGGAAAUGUCGUUUCUUUAUGGGAAUCAUGUGUUGAAAGGUGGAUUGGGGAGGAUUACGGACAGUAUUUCGAAAAAUGAUGGGGUUGUGGUGUUCUCUAUGUCUGAUGUGCCUCUAGGGUUUGGUUCCGCAGCGAGAUCAACCCAGGAUUGCAGGAAGUUGGAUCCUAAUGGAAUAGUGGUGCAUCACCAGGGGGAUAUUGGUGAAUAUUUGAGAAUGGAGGAUGAACUUUGAUAGAAUUGAGGUUCUUUCUGGGGUUUUAGGAAGGUUUUUGGGAUAUGGGUCGGUGUUGAUGGUAUAGACAUGCUAGUUACUGUAAGUAUGUCUUAUCUAAUUUUGAGUAAUAUGAGGUUGUUGUUAUGGUUUUCUGAAAAUUUAAUGAACUUGGGUUUUCUUGUAUUUGUUCUUCAAUUGUGUGUUUAUGUUAAUUUCACCAACGGGCAUGAAGUUUUUUGCUCCAUCCAUACAUAAUUAAAUGGUCAAAUUCACAAGUGCAUCAAUUAAGCUUUCUUUGAGUGGUCAACUUGUCAUUGGUUUAAAAUGUGUGUUUUUUCCAA